rnacentral:rRNA from 1 species
UACGUAGGGGGCAAGCGUUGUCCGGAAUCAUUGGGCGUAAAGAGCGUGUAGGCGGCUCGGUAAGUCCGCUCUGAAAGCCCGGGGCUCAACCCCGGGAGGCGGGCGGAUACUGUCGGGCUAGAGUCCGGAAGAGGCGAGUGGAAUUCCUGGUGUAGCGGUGAAAUGCGCAGAUAUCGGGAGGAACACCUGUGGCGAAAGCGGCUCACUGGACCACAACUGACGCUGAUGCACGAAAGCUAGGGGAGCAAACAGG